CCUGCGGAGGUCAUUACCGAGUGCGGGUCCUUUGGGCCCAACCUCCCAUCCGUGUCUAUUGUACCCUGUUGCUUCGGCGGGCCCGCCGCUUGUCGGCCGCCGGGGGGGCGCCUCUGCCCCCCGGGCCCGUGCCCGCCGGAGACCCCAACACGAACCCUGUCUGAAAGCGUGCAGUCUGAGUCGAUUGUUUGCAAUCAGUUAAAACUUUCAACAAUGGAUCUCUUGGUUCCGGCAUCGAUGAAGAACGCAGCGAAAUGCGAUAACUAAUGUGAAUUGCAGAAUUCAGUGAAUCAUCGAGUCUUUGAACGCACAUUGCGCCCCCUGGUAUUCCGGGGGGCAUGCCUGUCCGAGCGUCAUUGCUGCCCUCAAGCCCGGCUUGUGUGUUGGGUCGCCGUCCCCUCUCUCCGGGGGGACGGGCCCGAAAGGCAGCGGCGGCACCGCGUCCGAUCCUCGAGCGUAUGGGGCUUUGUCACAUGCUCUGUAGGAUUGGCCGGCGCCUGCCGACGUUUUCCAACUAUUCUUUCCAGGUUGACCUCGGAUCAGGUAGGGAUACCCGCUGAACUUAAGCAUAUCAAUAAGCGGAGGA
rnacentral:rRNA from 1 species